rnacentral:lncRNA from 1 species
UCGGUUCAACAGGACAUGGUCACCACGAAUAGUUUCAGGAAGAGUAGCCCAGCCAACAGUUCCAGCGAUGGAUCAAGCUAGUAGUCAAGGUGAAGAGAGAGGUGUACCCCCUUCUUUGGUAGGAUUUCCUGGAAAGGAUCCAUCAGCACCGAUCCGGAUCUUCACCUGGGCUCAGCAGAAGACUGACACAUCAGACAGAGCAGGGUCAGGUAUGUUCAUUUUUGGAUACACUGAUGUGUUGGUAGUUGUUGUAAGAGUUAUAAGAGAGAUGUAUGAGUAGUACAGUACAGUGAAGCAGCUAGUAGAUGACGGUUUAUCUGACCUAGUACCUCACCCUGGAGCGUUCCAGUGAUGUGCGGGAAAAGCAGGAUAAAUCAGAGAUUCAGGUUCAGGUAAUAAAAGGGUAAAGAGAUUAGUACAGAGGAAGAGGAGAGCAAAGAAGAAUAAGAGUAAACGUAGAAAGAAGGAAGGUAGAAGAGAAAAGUAAUAGAGAACUAAGAAGGAAGAAGAAUAGAAAGAUCAGAGUAGCGCAGCAGAAGGUUAUGAAAGUCAAGAACAAGGUGGAAGUUUUACGUUUUGCAUGUUAGCUUUGCAUGUUGCUUUGAUUAUAUGUUACGUGUUGUUUUAACAUUCGAGGACGAAUGUUUUUUUUUAGGGGGGUAGAAUGUAAUACCCGGCUCGUUCAGGCAUCGGAAUUCUCACCGUCCGGUGGAAAUUCGGGAUGUCGGAGUUGCCAGUAAGGGUUUAAGUAAAGGUUGUAAGUAAAAAGGAUUUUGCGUUUUGAAGAAA